rnacentral:pre_miRNA from 1 species
GCCUGGAAGAGGAAGAAAGAGAGGGCCUAAGAGCAGUGGGAAUGGGAAUGUGGAGGAAAGCUUAGCCUGGUUUUUUCCUCGUCUAGGGACAGAGGUGGAAGCUUGGUUUGGUGUUUCCCUAUGCCUCCCGUUCCUAUCAUUCUUAAGCGUUCCUUCCUCUUCCUUUUGGCU